rnacentral:rRNA from 1 species
GCUCUGGGUCACCUCCCACCCGUGUUUAUUUUACCUUGUUGCUUCGGCGGGCCCGCCUUAACUGGCCGCCGGGGGGCUUACGCCCCCGGGCCCGCGCCCGCCGAAGACACCCUCGAACUCUGUCUGAAGAUUGUAGUCUGAGUGAAAAUAUAAAUUAUUUAAAACUUUCAACAACGGAUCUCUUGGUUCCGGCAUCGAUGAAGAACGCAGCGAAAUGCGAUACGUAAUGUGAAUUGCAAAUUCAGUGAAUCAUCGAGUCUUUGAACGCACAUUGCGCCCCCUGGUAUUCCGGGGGGCAUGCCUGUCCGAGCGUCAUUGCUGCCCUCAAGCACGGCUUGUGUGUUGGGCCCCGUCCUCCGAUCCCGGGGGACGGGCCCGAAAGGCAGCGGCGGCACCGCGUCCGGUCCUCGAGCGUAUGGGGCUUUGUCACCCGCUCUGUAGGCCCGGCCGGCGCUUGCCGAUCAACCCAAAUUUUUAUCCAGGUUGACCUCGGAUCAGGUAGGGAUACCCGCUGAACUUAA